UACGGAGGGAGCUAGCGUUGUUCGGAAUUACUGGGCGUAAAGCGCGCGCAGGCGGCGGUGCUGGCCCGGCGUGAAAGCCCCCGGCUCAACCGGGGAGGGUCGUCGGGGACCGCACCGCUUGAGGGCGGUAGGGGCUGGUGGAAUGCCUGGUGUAGUGGUGAAAUGCGUAGAGAUCAGGCGGAACACCCGUGGCGAAGGCGGCCAGCUGGGCCGUCCCUGACGCUGAGGCGCGAAGGCGUGGGGAGCGAACGGG
rnacentral:rRNA from 1 species